rnacentral:tRNA from 5 species
GCGCCUGUAGCUCAGCUGGAUAGAGCAACGGACUUCUAAUCCGUAGGUCGCAGGUUCGAAUCCUGCCAGGCGCACCA